rnacentral:lncRNA from 1 species
ACCUCCUGGGAUGAUACACGCCCCAAUGUAACACCCCUCAUCUCUGCGCUGGGGGCAUCACCUGUUAUCUUCCUUUUCCUCUCUAGACUACACGUGUCUCCAUUAGCAGAGCAUUAUUUUGCAAGAGAAGCGUGUUCCUUUUCUCAAUAGGAAGGAAGAAAUAAAUGAAGGCACCAGCCAGGCCGGAGAAACUUGCAAGUCGCUGUGACUGCUUCGGAUCCAGCACACCCCACCCACCUCGGGCUGUGGACGCCACCUGCAGCAGCCCGGGGAAGACGGAGGAAGAGGCGCUGGCUGCGGAGCAGGUCCUUGGCAAAGAGCGGAAGGUGACGGGGCGCAGGGAGCGCCUGCUCUUAGGAUCCUGCCUCUCAGCUGAGGAGGGAGCAAUUCAAGUUUUAAUAAUCUCAGGCAUAUGAAUGAUGCAAACUUGCAACAGCGUUUGAAAGUGCACUUAUUUAAACUUCUUUUUCCUCUAAAUAGCUUUGCGACUGUCGACCGGUAAAUUUUCCUUUUUAUUUCAUCACAUUCAUCGUUUGCCCUCUUGCCAGCAGGGACCCCACAAUGGCGACAAAUGGGUUCUCCGGGGCAAAUGGCAAAAGAGAGGAAGUUUCCCGUCGGACUUUCCCAAGCCCCCCUCUCCCCGCCCCUUCUUGCACCUGGACCUUCUGAGGCUGUCGCACCCCUCCCCUGGGCGGGGCCGGCACUAGGGAUACUGGAUUUCUCCUACUCUUCCCGCCCCUGGAUUCUUUCAGCCCUCACCCCCUCCCAGGAAAGAGGAAGAGAAGCAGCGGUGACGAGGACAGGCGGUGGUUGCCUACCCAGGAAUCCGAGGUCACACUUUUGUAAGAGACUUGAAGAGCGUGGUCUACGGCUUGUGCUGCGCCGCAGGGGUGUAGACCCAGAGUGCAAGCACAGGCGAAGAUCAGACACUCAUUUCACACUUCUGAUAGAAAAAUGA